AUUGAACGCUGGCGGCAUGCCUUACACAUGCAAGUCGAACGGCAGCACGGGAGCAAUCCUGGUGGCGAGUGGCGAACGGGUGAGUAAAGUAUCGGAACGUGCCCAGUCGUGGGGGAUAACGUAGCGAAAGUUACGCUAAUACCGCAUACGAUCGAUGGAUGAAAGCGGGGGAUCGCAAGACCUCGCGCGAAUGGAGCGGCCGAUAUCAGAUUAGGUAGUUGGUGGGGUAAAGGCUCACCAAGCCGACGAUCUGUAGCUGGUCUGAGAGGACGACCAGCCACACUGGGACUGAGACACGGCCCAGACUCCUACGGGAGGCAGCAGUGGGGAAUUUUGGACAAUGGGCGAAAGCCUGAUCCAGCCAUUCCGCGUGCAGGAUGAAGGCCCUCGGGUUGUAAACUGCUUUUGUACAGAACGAAAAGGUUUCUACUAAUACUAGGAGCUCAUGACGGUACUGUAAGAAUAAGCACCGGCUAACUACGUGCCAGCCGCCGCGGUAA
rnacentral:rRNA from 1 species